rnacentral:rRNA from 1 species
AGAGUUUGAUCCUGGCUCAGGAUGAACGCUGGCGGCGUGCUUAACACAUUGCAAGUCGAACGGAGCGAUGACACGGAGUCUUCGGAUGAAGUGUUAUGGCUUAGUGGCGGACGGGUGAGUAACACGUGAGCAACCUACCUUUUGCAGGGGAAUAACUCUGGGAAACCAGGGCUAAUACCGCAUGUCGUGCACAUGGGGCAUCCCAGGUGCAUGAAAGGAGCAAUCCGGCAGAAGAUGGGCUCGCGUCUGAUUAGCUAGUUGGUGAGGUAAUGGCUCACCAAGGCAACGAUCAGUAGCCGACCUGAGAGGGUGAUCGGCCACACUGGAACUGAGACACGGUCCAGACUCCUACGGGAGGCAGCAGUGGGGAAUAUUGCACAAUGGGCGAAAGCCUGAUGCAGCAACGCCGCGUGAGCGAUGAAGGCCUUCGGGUCGUAAAGCUCUGUCCUCAAGGAAGAUAAUGACGGUACUUGAGGAGGAAGCCCCGGCUAACUACGUGCCAGCAGCCGCGGUAAUACGUAGGGGGCUAGCGUUAUCCGGAAUUACUGGGCGUAAAGGGUGCGUAGGCGGUCUUUCAAGCCAGAAGUGAAAGGCUACGGCUCAACCGUAGUAAGCUUUUGGAACUGUAAGACUUGAGUGCAGGAGAGGAGAGUGGAAUUCCUAGUGUAGCGGUGAAAUGCGUAGAUAUUAGGAGGAACACCAGUAGCGAAGGCGGCUCUCUGGACUGUAACUGACGCUGAGGCACGAAAGCGUGGGGAGCAAACAGGAUUAGAUACCCUGGUAGUCCACGCCGUAAACGAUGAGUACUAGGUGUCGGGGGUUACCCCCCUCGGUGCCGCAGCUAACGCAUUAAGUACUCCGCCUGGGAAGUACGCUCGCAAGAGUGAAACUCAAAUGAAUUGACGG